rnacentral:rRNA from 1 species
CCUACGGGUGGCUGCAGUGAGGAAUAUUGGUCAAUGGACGAGAGUCUGAACCAGCCAAGUAGCGUGAAGGAUGACUGCCCUAUGGUUUGUAAACUUCUUUUAUAGAGGAGUAAAACGAGGCACGUGUGCAUUUUUGCAUGGACUUUAUGAAUAAGGAUCGGCUAACUCCACGCCAGCAGCCGCGGUAAUACGGAGGAUGCGAGCGUUAUCCGGAUUUAUUGGGUUUAAAGGGAGCGUAGAUGGGUUGUUAAGUCAGUUGUGAAAGUUUGCGGCUCAACCGUAAAAUUGCAAUUGAUACUGGCAGUCUUGAGUACAGGUGAGGUAGGCGGAAUUCGUGGUGUAGGGGUGAAAUGCGUAGAUAUCACGAAGAACACCGAUGGCGAAGGCAACUUUCU